rnacentral:rRNA from 1 species
GAUGAACGCUGGCGGCGUGCUUAACACAUGCAAGUCGAACGGAAAGGCCUCUUUCGGGUGGUACUCGAGGGGCGAAGGGGUGAGUAACACAUGAGUAACCCGCCCUUUACUUUGGGAUAGCUGCAGAAGACUGGGGAUACUACCUGAUAGGAGCUCCUGCUUCAGGGUGGCGGCCGGAGAGUUUCGGCGGUUGGGGAUGGACUGGCGGCUUAUCAGCUUGUUAGAGGGGGAGUGGCUUACGAAGGCCUUGGCGGGUAGCCGGCCUGUGAGGGUGAGCGGCCACAUUGACACUGAGAGACGGCCGAGACUGCUACGGGAGGCAGCAGGGGGGAAUAUUGCACAAGGGAUGGAGGCCUGAUGCAGCAAGGCCGUGUGCGGGAUGACCGCCUUCUGGUUGUAAACCGGCUUCGCUCAUGACGAAGGUUUGUGUGACGGUAGUGGGUAAAGAAGCACCGGCUAACUACGUG